rnacentral:rRNA from 1 species
GCCUAUGGCCAUACCACCCUGAAAGCGCCUGAUCUCGGAAGCUAAGCAGGCUCGGGCCUGUUUAGUACCUGGAUGGGAGACCGCCUGGAAUACCAGGUGUUGUAGGCU